UACGUAGGGGGCAAGCGUUGUCCGGAAUCAUUGGGCGUAAAGAGCGUGUAGGCGGCUCGAUAAGUCUGUUCUGAAAGUCCAGGGCUCAACCCUGGGAUGCGGAUGGAUACUGUCGAGCUCGAGUCCGGAAGAGGCGAGUGGAAUUCCUGGUGGUAGCGGUGAAAUGCGCAGAUAUCAAGGAGGAACACCAAUGGCGAAGGCAGCUCGCUGGGACGUGACUGACGCUGAGACGCGAAAGCGUGGGGAGCAAACAGG
rnacentral:rRNA from 1 species